ACUCCUACGGCAGGCAGCAGUGGGGAAUAUUGGACAAUGGGGGGAACCCUGAUCCAGCCAUGCCGCGUGUGUGAAGAAGGCCUUAUGGUUGUAAUGCACUUUAAGCGAGGAGGAGGCUCCUGUAGUUAAUACCUACAGUGAGUGGACGUUACUCGCAGAAUAAGCACCGGCUAACUCUGUGCCAGCAGCCGCGGUAAUACAGAGGGUGCGAGCGUUAAUCGGAUUUACUGGGCGUAAAGCGUGCGUAGGCGGCUUUUUAAGUCGGAUGUGAAAUCCCCGAGCUUAACUUGGGAAUUGCAUUCGAUACUGAGAAGCUAGAGUAUGGUAGAGGAUGGUAGAAUUCCAGGUGUAGCGGUGAAAUGCGUAGAGAUCUGGAGGAAUACCGAUGGCGAAGGCAGCCAUCUGGCCUAAUACUGACGCUGAGGUACGAAAGCAUGGGGAGCAAACAGGAUUAGAUACCCUGGUAGUCCAUGCCGUAAACGAUGUCUACUAGCCGUUGGGGCCUUUGAGGCUUUAGUGGCGCAGCUAACGCGAUAAGUAGACCGCCUGGGGAGUACGGUCGCAAGACUAAAACUCAAAUGAAUUGACGGGGGCCCCCACAAGCGGUUGAGCAUGUGG
rnacentral:rRNA from 1 species